rnacentral:lncRNA from 1 species
AGGCAAUCUUUAUUACUAUUUAUUGGCUUUAUUGGGAAAUUGACCUUAAAUUAUACCCUAAUUCUCAUAUUGGACCUUAAAGUUUUUUUUCUUCAAAAAAUGGUCUAUAAACUAUUAAAAACUCAUAAAAAUCAACAAUAUCGUGUUGAUUUUACUUAAAUACAAGGAUGAAAUUACUCAAUUUAUAAUAAAAUGAUUAAUUUACUUUUCACCCUAAGUUUAAUCUCCAACUCUCAAAGAAAUUUUCUAAAGAU